rnacentral:lncRNA from 1 species
UAACAGGGCUGCUCCAAUUUGACUGCGCAUAGCACCAGAACCACAUAGGCUUGUGGUGGGGCCUGAGGAUGUGCAUUUGGCACAAGUUUUCAACAAUCUAAUGCUGCUGGUCCAGGGUCCCCGCUUGAAGAACCACUGCUUUGUUAUAAUCAUCCUGAUCAUCAGGGCACCUGCAACCAAGGAGCUGGGUGUUGCUCAAGGAAAAUCACCCAACCCCACUGACUGCUUUCACUUAAAUUCAUGAUUACAGAUUCUAAAGGAGCCCUCAGUAACUGCCUGGCUGUCCUUUUCAAUUUCCCUAGUAAAGUCCCUUUGUCUAUUCUGUACUCUGUCCUCUCUCUGUCUUGCCUACUCUUCAAUUUCAGCAGAUAACCUCACCUCCCACACUUCAGUGAGGAACUAGAGUAGAGGCCAGGAAAUAGGAACUCUCUUCCCAAUGGUGCUUGAGGCUCCUCUGACUUUCCUCCUGUUACAAGGGAAAGACAGAUUUCUGUCUGUCACCAGUCAGUCUCCCCUUUGCUCUGCAUCCCAUCAGCCUCACCUUUUUUUUUUUUUUGUUUUUUUUUAAAGAGAGAGUAUGAGAGAGAGAGAAUUUUUUCAAUAUUUAUUUUCUAGUUUUCGGUGGACACAACAUCUUUGUUUGUAUGUGGUGCUGAGGAUCAAACCCGGACCGCACGCAUGCCAGGCAAGCGCGCUACCGCUUGAGCCACAUCCCCAGCCCAAGCCUCACCUUUCUUAGAGCUUUGCUUCUUCAAUCACUCCUUCCUUCUUAUGCUAUUAAUGUAUGUGUUGAUUGGGAUUGUUCCCCUCAUCCCCACCUUUAACCUGCUCUUGGCCCUGUAUUCCCUUCCAGCCACCAUUCCAUUUCUCUGCUCCCAUUUACAAAAAUUCUUGAAAAAGUUGUUGACUCACCAUGUUACCUCAUUUCCCUUUUGCUCUUAAAAAAAGUAUGUGGAGUCGGGUGUGGUGGCUCACACUUUUUUUUAAAAUUAAUUAAUUAAUUAAUUUUUAUUAUUAGUUGUUCAAAACAUUACAAAGCUCUUGAUAGGGC